GGCUCCAUGUCCCUCUAACCAUCGGGUCCUAAUGGCUCCAUGUCCCUCUAACCAUCGGGUCCUAAUGGCUCCAUGUCCCUCUAACCAUCGGGUCCUAAUGGCUCCAUGUCCCUCUAACCAUCGGGUCCUAAUGGCUCCAUGUCCCUCUAACCAUCAGGUCCUAAUGGCUCCAUGUCCCUCUAACCAUCGGGUCCUAAUGGCUCCAUGUCCCUCUAACCAUCAGGUCCUAAUGGCUCCAUGUCCCUCUAACCAUCAGGUCCUAAUGGCUCCAUGUCCCUCUAACCAUCAGGUCCUAAUGGCUCCAUGUCCCC